AAGGUCGGUCCUGAACUCCACCCUUGAAUAAAUUACCUUUGUUGCUUUGGCGGGCCGCCUCGCGCCAGCGGCUUCGGCUGUUGAGUGCCCGCCAGAGGACCACAACUCUUGUUUUUAGUGAUGUCUGAGUACUAUAUAAUAGUUAAAACUUUCAACAACGGAUCUCUUGGUUCUGGCAUCGAUGAAGAACGCAGCGAAAUGCGAUAAGUAAUGUGAAUUGCAGAAUUCAGUGAAUCAUCGAAUCUUUGAACGCACAUUGCGCCCUCUGGUAUUCCGGGGGGCAUGCCUGUUCGAGCGUCAUUAUAACCACUCAAGCUCUCGCUUGGUAUUGGGGUUCGCGGUUCCGCGGCCCCUAAAAUCAGUGGCGGUGCCUGUCGGCUCUACGCGUAGUAAUACUCCUCGCGUCUGGGUCCGGUAGGUCUACUUGCCAGCAACCCCCAAUUUUUACAGGUUGACCUCGGAUCAGGUAGGGAUACCCGCUGAACUUAAGCAUAUCAAUAAGCGGAGGA
rnacentral:rRNA from 1 species